rnacentral:rRNA from 1 species
UCCUACGGGGCGCAGCAGUGGUUUAUCUUUCACAAUUUUUUAAACCCUGAUGCAGCAACGCCGCGUGAGUGAAGAAGGUCUUCGGAUUGUAAAGCUCUGUUCUUGGUGAAGAUAAUGACGGUAGCCAAGGAGAAAGCUCCGGCUAACUACGUGCCAGCAGCCGCGGUAAUACGUAGGGAGCGAGCGUUGUCCGGAUUUACUGGGUGUAAAGGGUGCGCAGGCGGCUCUGCAAGUCAGGCGUGAAAGCUAGGGGCUCAACCCCUAAACUGCGCUUGAAACUGUGGAGCUUGGGUGAAGUAGAGGCA